UACGUAGGGGGCGAGCGUUGUCCGGAUUCAUUGGGCGUAAAGAGCUCGUAGGCGGCUUGGCAAGUCGGGUGUGAAAACUCCAGGCUCAACCUGGAGACGCCACCCGAUACUGCUAUGGCUUGAGUCUGGUAGGGGACCACGGAAUUCCUGGUGUAGCGGUGAAAUGCGCAGAUAUCAGGAGGAACACCGGUGGCGAAGGCGGUGGUCUGGGCCAGUACUGACGCUGAGGAGCGAAAGCGUGGGGAGCAAACAGG
rnacentral:rRNA from 1 species